GUGAAUCAUCGAAUUUUUGAACGCAAAUUGCACUCUCUGGCAUUCCGGAGAGUAUGCCUGUUUGAGGGUCAGCCUAAAAAAAAAAUCGACAUAGUCGCUGUUUCUCGGUGACAUUCGUCGGAAAUUGGGUCAUCUUAAACCUUUGGGUUUUAAUCGUCUUAAAAUUUUCUUUACGAUUCCACGAACGUUUCUAAGAUUUACUUCUUUUACGUUUAAGGUAUCGAUCUUUAUUCACCGUGGCCGUUCCAUCGGAUCUCGUCCAUAAAUAUUUCGUUAAC
rnacentral:misc_RNA from 1 species